GGGCUCGUAGUUCACCUGGUAGAACACCCCACUUGCACUGGGGAGGUAAGCGGUUCGAGUCCGCUCGGGUCCA
rnacentral:tRNA from 1 species